UACAGAGGUCCCGAGCGUUUGUUCGGAUUCACUGGGCGUAAAGGGUGCGUAGGUGGCUGGGAAAGUUUGAUGUGAAAGCUCAGGGCUUAACCCUGAAAUGGCAUUGAAUACUGCCUGGCUGGAGGUUUGGAGGGGGGGACUGGAAUUCUUGGUGUAGCAGUGAAAAUCGUAGAUAUCAAGAGGAACACCAGUGGCGAAGGCGAGUC
rnacentral:rRNA from 1 species